rnacentral:rRNA from 1 species
UCACUGCGACGAGAGCCGUUCCGUAGGUGAACCUGCGGAAGGAU